AUCAUCAUCAUCGUGAUCAUUAUCGUGUCAUGAUCGUUGUCAUCAUCAUCGUGUCAUCAUCGUUGUCAUCAUCAUCAUCGUGAUCGUCAUCAUCGUGGUCAUCGUCAUCUUCCCACUUUGUUCGGUAAAACAAGCCGGGUGAGACUGGUCCAAUUAGUUUAAAAUCUAUGAUUGUGGCUGGACUCAUCCUUGUUAGAGGAAUGCGUCAUUUCCACAAAUGCGUCCCUUAUCUUCGGCAGCAAUGAACCCACUCCCCCACGCUCGUCGUUCUCAACCCACGUGUGGGCCCACAGGCUGCAGUGCGGCGAACACCGCCGUUGUACCGUACUCCUAUGUUCCCACGUCUACGCUCCCCGGCCGACCAGCGCGGUGAAGUAUGGUCAAACGACCAGCGCGGUGAAGUAUGGUCAAACGACCCCCGCGGCCCACAUGGACGCGGCUGCGGAGGCCGUCACCCAACAGUCGAUUUGACAAAAGGGCCCCUUUAUAACAACAUAUGAUAAGGGCCCGCACUCGCUUCAUCCGGCACGCGUGUAGAGUGAGCGCGAGAAGACGGGCUGUGUAAGAUUAAGCGCACACAUCUGCCGGGAAUUACAUCCCUAAUGGACGCAUCUAAUGAAGGCGCCUCUGCUUGGAGUGAGGUCACUUGAAGGCGCCCGCUGCAAGGGAGAGGGGAGAGAGGGAGGGUUGAGAGAGGAAGUGAAAUCACGGCCUGGGACGAGUGCUCAGAGCCAUCACCCCACUCUCUGCUGAGCGUUUUGCCUUAUUAAAAUUUCUCCUCAAUGCCGGUGCAUUUCCUCCUGCA